AGCCAAGAACUUGCUAUGUGGCCCAAGCCAGCCUCCAACUGCAGAUCCUCUGCUUCAGCUUCCGGAGAUCUCUGCUGUGCACCUCCAUGCCCAGCCCGUCCUUUGACAUAAAGGGUGGCACUUGUCCCCAGGUCAACACUCGCGUACCAUUUGUAUGCCGCUGGGAAGGGAGCCCAGUCGAGCAGUGAGCCACAACUGCAACCCAUGAUCAAUCUCCAGGGAGACUCAGAAGGAUCUUCAUUCAAAAUUAAAGAUCAAAACCAGUUCAACAUGAGAGCAAGUCUCACACACACACACUUCCACAAACAUGCCUACCAUUUGAAUAAUUCUCAACACGUUUUCACAUGAGAUUUUACCUGCAGUUUCCCAGAUUUACUUUGAAUUUUAUCAGGGUCCUUUUCCUCCUUUAUUAAAUGAGUUCUGUUAAAUGUA